rnacentral:pre_miRNA from 1 species
CAACCUCUGCAGGCUGGCUAGUCCCGAGGCUGGGCGGGGCAAUUAUCUCUUCCAAAGGCUCAACCUCAAGCACGACUAGAAAC